rnacentral:misc_RNA from 1 species
GAUGAAGAACGCAGCGAAGUGCGAUAAGUAAUGUGAAUUGCAGAAUUCCGUGAAUCAUCGAAUCUUUGAACGCAAAUUGCACUCUCUGGUAUCCCGGGGAGUAUGCCUGUUUGAGGGUCAGUGUUAAUAAAAAUCGGUGCGUUGCACUUUAUUGUGACGUUCUGGAGUUUGAGUUAUCUUAACUUUUAGGUUAAGAGGCUUAAAAUUGACCUUUUUUUUGUGCAUUUUAGACGUACAUAAAUUUUCUUUUAUUUGUUUUUUAAUGCCAAAAUUAUAUUAGAUGCGACCAUAUCGUGUGGUUUCGUGUCUAUAAAUUUUUCAUGAUUUGACCUCAAAUCAGGUAGGAGUACCCGCUGAACUUAAGCAUAUCAAUAAGCGGAGGA